UACGUAGGGGGCAAGCGUUGUCCGGAAUCAUUGGGCGUAAAGCGCGCGUAGGCGGCCCGGAAAGUCGGAUGUGAAAUCCCGGGGCUCAACCCCGGGCCUGCAUCCGAUACUCCCGGGCUGGAGGCAGGUAGGGGAGAUCGGAAUUCCGUGGUGUAGCGGUGAAAUGCGCAGAUAUCAGGAGGAACACCGGUGGCGAAGGCGGAUCUCUGGGCCUUGCCUGACGCUGAGGCGCGAAAGCUAGGGGAGCGAACAGG
rnacentral:rRNA from 1 species